UACGAAGGGGGCUAGCGUUGUUCGGAAUUACUGGGCGUAAAGCGAGUGUAGGCGGUUCGGUAAGUCGGAUGUGAAAGCCCCGGGCUCAACCCGGGAAGUGCACUCGAUACUGCCGAGCUAGAGUGUCGGAGAGGUUGGUGGAAUUCUCGGUGUAGAGGUGAAAUUCGUAGAUAUCGAGAGGAACACCGGUGGCGAAGGCGGCCAACUGGACGAACACUGACGCUGAGACUCGAAAGCGUGGGGAGCAAACAGG
rnacentral:rRNA from 1 species